rnacentral:ribozyme from 1 species
CAUAUUGUUAGUGCACUGGCUUGUUGCACCUUGACGUUUUGAUAGAGGUGCCUAAAAGCUUCCUACAUUACUACGUUUCUAUCUCAAUCUUCUGCGUAAGCGCACUGAGAGUUACUAGAUUCUUGCAAUUU